CGCUGAAUAAUUUCUUCUCGGAAUUACCUAAUACAUAUGUGGAUAGGAAGUAACAUAUAUCUGAUAAAAUAAUUGAGAUCGAUAUAUAAAGCAAAUAUAGUAUUAGACACCACAUUUAUGAAAAAGAAAAAGGUAAUAGGAGUGUGAAUUGAGGAGGAUAAGGUUCAUGGUUCAUGACUAAGGCAACUUUAUUAGUUUGUAGUGCACAACUUUAUGCCUUCACUACAUGUGUAUAUGAAAAAAAGAGAAAGAGCACGAGACAAAC
rnacentral:lncRNA from 1 species